AGUCCUGUGGUCCAACGGCGACGACACCUGUUUUACACGCAGGAGACGAUGGUUCGAUUCUAUCCGGGACUA
rnacentral:tRNA from 1 species